ensembl:lncRNA
AUGUUCCAAUGCAGAGAACAUAAACCAUAUACUGGUCAUUCAUCCAUUAUCCCAGAACAUAAACCAUAUACUGGUCAUUCAUCCAUUAUCCCAGAACAUAAACCAUAUACUGGUCAUUCAUCCAUUAUCCCAGAACAUAAACCAUAUACUGGUCAUUCAUCCAUUAUCCCAGAACAUAAACCAUAUACUGGUCAUUCAUCCAUUAUCCCAGAACAUAAACCAUAUACUGUUCAUUCAUCCAUUAUCCCAGAACAUAAACCAUAUACUGGUCAUUCAUCCAUUAUCCCAGAACAUAAACCAUAUACUGGUCAUUCAUCCAUUAUCCCAGAACAUAAACCAUAUACUGUUCAUUCAUCCAUUAUCCCAGAACAUAAACCAUAUACUGUUCAUUCAUCCAUUAUCCCAGAACAUAAACCAUAUACUGUUCAUUCAUCCAUUAUCCCAGAACAUAAACCAUAUACUGUUCAUUCAUCCAUUAUCCCAGAACAUAAACCAUAUACUGGUCAUUCAUCCAUUAUCCCAGAACAUAAACCAUAUACUGGUCAUUCAUCCAUUAUCCCAGAACAUAAACCAUAUACUGUUCAUUCAUCCAUUAUCCCAGAACAUAAACCAUACAAACAUACUUGGCAUUCAUCCAUUAUCCCAGAACAUAAACCCUACAAACAUACUUGGCAUCCAUCCAUUAUCCCAGAACAUAAACCAUACAAACAUACUUGUCAUUCAUCCAUUAUCCCAGAACAUAAACCAUAUACUGUUCAUUCAUCCAUUAUCCCAGAACAUAAACCAUAUACUGUUCAUUCAUCCAUUAUCCCAGAACAUAAACCAUACAAACAUACUUGGCAUUCAUCCAUUAUCCCAGAACAUAAACCCUACAAACAUACUUGGCAUCCAUCCAUUAUCCCAGAACAUAAACCAUACAAACAUACUUGGCAUUCAUCCAUUAUCCCAGAACAUAAACCCUACAAACAUACUUGGCAUCCAUCCAUUAUCCCAGAACAUAAACCAUACAAACAUACUUGUCAUUCAUCCAUUAUCCCAGAACAUAAACCAUAUACUGUUCAUUCAUCCAUUAUCCCAGAACAUAAACCAUACAAACAUACUUGGCAUUCAUCCAUUAUCCCAGAACAUAAACCGUACAAACAUACUUGUCAUUCAUCCAUUAUCCCAGAACAUAAACCAUACAAACAUACUUGUCAUUCAUCCAUUAUCCCAGAACAUAAACCAUAUACUGUUCAUUCAUCCAUUAUCCCAGAACAUAAACCAUACAAACAUACUUGGCAUUCAUCCAUUAUCCCAGAACAUAAACCAUACAAACAUACUUGGCAUUCAUCCAUUAUCCCAGAACAUAAACCGUACAAACAUACUUGUCAUUCAUCCAUUAUCCCAGAACAUAAACCCUACAAACAUACUUGUCAUUCAUCCAUUAUCCCAGAACAUAAACCGUACAAACAUACUUGGCAUUCAUCCAUUAUCCCAGAACAUAAACCACAUACUGGUCAUUCAUCCAUUAUCCCAGGCCUGUGGGGUUGUGUAUUAAGGAAGAGAAGGCUGUUAAAAUCAGGCGCUCCGUAG